rnacentral:rRNA from 1 species
GGGCCCGCACAAGCGGUGGAGCAUGUGGUUUAAUUCGAUGAUACGCGAGGAACCUUACCAGGGCUUAAAUGUUAGGUGACAGAUCUAGAAAUAGAUUUUUCUUCGGACACUUAACAAGGUGCUGCAUGGUUGUCGUCAGCUCGUGCCGUGAGGUGUCAGGUUAAGUCCUAUAACGAGCGCAACCCCUGUUGUUAGUUGCCAGCGAGUAAUGUCGGGAACUCUAGCAAGACUGCCAGUGCAAACUGUGAGGAAGGUGGGGAUGACGUCAAAUCAUCACGGCCCUUACGUCCUGGGCUACACACGUGCUACAAUGGUAGGUACAGAGAGCAGCCAAUGCGCGAGCAUGAGCAAAUCUAUAAAACCGUGGCUCAGUUCAGAUCGUAGGCUGCAACUCGCCUACGUG